ensembl:snRNA
ACCGUCCUUAUCUGGGGGUUGCGUGGCUGCCCGAUGAGCGCAUGGCGAGGGCAGCACUGCUAACGCCUUGAACAACACACCGACGCCCGCCCCGUGCGCGGCGCAAUUUUUGGAACC